UACGAAAGGGGCUAGCGUUGUUCGGAAUUACUGGGCGUAAAGCGCACGUAGGCGGAUAUUUAAGUCAGGGGUGAAAUCCCGGGGCUCAACCCCGGAACUGCCUUUGAUACUGGGUAUCUCGAGUCCGAGAGAGGUGAGUGGAAUUCCGAGUGUAGAGGUGAAAUUCGUAGAUAUUCGGAGGAACACCAGUGGCGAAGGCGGCUCACUGGCUCGGUACUGACGCUGAGGUGCGAAAGCGUGGGGAGCAAACAGG
rnacentral:rRNA from 1 species